rnacentral:rRNA from 1 species
UACGUAGGGUGCGAGCGUUAAUCGGAAUUACUGGGCGUAAAGCGUGCGCAGGCGGUUUUUUAAGCCAGACGUGAAAGCCCCCGGGCUUAACCUGGGAAUGGCGUUUGGGACUGGAAGGCUGGAGUACGGCAGAGGGAGGUGGAAUUCCACGUGUAGCAGUGAAAUGCGUAGAGAUGUGGAGGAACACCGAUGGCGAAGGCAGCCUCCUGGGCCAGUACUGACGCUCAUGCACGAAAGCGUGGGGAGCAAACAGG